UCCCAGUCACCACCUUCUGCUUCAUCUGCCCAGAAGCCAAUGAAACUUGCUCAAGGAUUUUCCUGGAGAACAAAAUGAAGUUUACUGGCCUAUUCCAGUCCCAAGUCAACUUUAAAGGCAUGAAACAUGAAAAUCCUCACUGCACUGAUACCAAGUUCAUUGCAUAGUCCUGUGUACAUGAUGUGGCCAUGAUCAAACAUUUAUCCAGCUACAAGCAGACUGCUCCUAGAUGAAUUCUGUGAGGUGCCACAUUCCCUCCUUUCCUACAGCCAUCACCAUCAGCAAGGACUGGGAUCCAAGUGCAUACAAAUAAAGUAUCAGCCAGCAAUGCUUCAAAUCA